rnacentral:rRNA from 1 species
AUUGACCGCUGGCGGCAGGCCUAACACAUGCAAGUCGAACGAGUGGCGGACGGGUGAGUAAUGUCUGGGAAACUGCCCGAUGGAGGGGGAUAACUACUGGAAACGGUAGCUAAUACCGCAUACCAUCGGAUGUGCCCAGAUGGGAUUAGCUAGUAGGUGGGGUAACGGCUCACCUAGGCGACGAUCCCUAGCUGGUCUGAGAGGAUGACCAGCCACACUGGAACUGAGACACGGGCCAGACUCCUACGGGAGGCAGCAGUGGGGAAUAUUGCACAAUGGGCGCAAGCCUGAUGCAGCCAUGCCGCGUGUAUGAAGAAGGCCUUCGAGUUGUAAAGUACUUUCAGCGAGGAGGAGUUACGCGAAGAAGAAGCACCGGCUAACUCCGUGCCAGCCGCCGAGGUAAUUC